rnacentral:rRNA from 1 species
GAGUUUGAUCAUGGCUCAGAUUGAACGCUGGCGGCAUGCCUUACACAUGCAAGUCGAACGGCAGCAUGAUCUAGCUUGCUAGAUUGAUGGCGAGUGGCGAACGGGUGAGUAAUACAUCGGAACGUGCCCUGUAGUGGGGGAUAACUAGUCGAAAGAUUAGCUAAUACCGCAUACGACCUGAGGGUGAAAGUGGGGGACCGCAAGGCCUCAUGCUAUAGGAGCGGCCGAUGUCUGAUUAGCUAGUUGGUGGGGUAAAGGCCCACCAAGGCGACGAUCAGUAGCUGGUCUGAGAGGACGAUCAGCCACACUGGGACUGAGACACGGCCCAGACUCCUACGGGAGGCAGCAGUGGGGAAAUUUUGGACAAUGGGCGAAAGCCUGAUCCAGCAAUGCCGCGUGUGUGAAAGAAGG